GAUGAACGCUAGCGGGAGGCUUAACACAUGCAAGUCGAGGGGCAACACGGGUAGCAAUACCUGGUGGCGACCGGCGCAAGGGUGCGUAACGCGUGAGCAACAUGCCCUAUACAGGGGGAUAAUCCAGGGAAACUUGGUCUAAUAUCCCAUAGUAUUUAGAGGUGGCAUCACCACUAAAUUAAAGCUUCGGUGGUAUAGGAUUGGCUCGCGUGACAUUAGCUGGAUGGUGGGGUAACGGCUCACCAUGGCGAUGAUGUCUAGGGGUUCUGAGAGGAAGACCCCCCAACUGGGACUGAGACACGGCCCAGACUCCUACGGGAGCAGCAGUGAGGAAUAUUGGACAAUGGAUGGAAAUCUGAUCCAGCCAUGCCGCGUGCAGGAAGACGGCCCUAUGGGUUGUAAACUGCUUUUUAUAUGGGGAGCAAUAAGGUUUACGCGUAGACCGAUGAGAGUACCAUAUGAAUAAGCAUCGGCUAACUCCGUG
rnacentral:rRNA from 1 species